rnacentral:rRNA from 1 species
UACGGAGGGGGCUAGCGUUGCUCGGAAUCACUGGGCGUAAAGGGUGCGUAGGCGGGUUUUUAAGUCAGGGGUGAAAUCCUGGAGCUCAACUCCAGAACUGCCUUUGAUACUGAAGAUCUUGAGUCCGGGAGAGGUGAGUGGAACUGCGAGUGUAGAGGUGAAAUUCGUAGAUAUUCGCAAGAACACCAGUGGCGAAGGCGGCUCACUGGCCCGGUACUGACGCUGAGGCACGAAAGCGUGGGGAGCAAACAAG